rnacentral:tRNA from 1 species
GCCCGGGUGGCGGAAUGGCAGACGCCGGGCACUCAAAAUGCCCUGCCCCUUAAGGGCGUGCGGGUUCGAGUCCCGCCCCGGGCA